UACAGAGGUCUCAAGCGUUGUUCGGAUUCAUUGGGCGUAAAGGGUGUGUAGGUGGCGCCGUAAGUCGGGUGUGAAAUUUCGGAGCUUAACUCCGAAACUGCAUUCGAUACUGCGGUGCUUGAGGACUGGAGAGGAUGUGGGAAUUCCUGGUGUAGCGGUGAAAUGCGUAGAUAUCAUGAGGAAGACCAGUGGCGAAGGCGGGUCUCUGGACAGUUCCUGACACUGAGACACGAAGGCCAGGGGAGCAAACGGG
rnacentral:rRNA from 1 species